rnacentral:rRNA from 1 species
CCAGAUAAACUACGAAUUCCAGAUAUCCAUACACGGGAGUCAGACUGCGAGUGAUAAGAUCCGUAGUCGAAAGGGAAACAGCCCAGAUCACCAGUUAAGGUCCCCAAAUCUAUGCUAAGUGGAAAAGGAUGUGGAGUUGCGUAGACAACUAGGACGUUGGCUCAGAAGCAGCCAUCAUUCAAAGAGUGCGUAAUAGCUCACUAGUCGAGUGGCGCUGCGCCGAAAAUUUACCGGGGCUAAGCAUAGUACCGAAACUGUGGAUGUGUUUUAAAGAGCACGUGGUAGGAGAGCGUUCUAAGAGCGGAGAAGUUGAAUCGAGAGGAUCAAUGGAGCGCUUAGAAGUGAGAAUGCCGGUAUGAGUAGCGAAAGAUAGGUGAGAAUCCUAUCCGCCGAAAGACUAAGGUUUCCUGGGGCAGGCUCGUCCGCCCAGGGUAAGUCGGGACCUAAGGCAAGGCCGAGAGGCGUAGUCGAUGGACAACAGGUAGAAAUUCCUGUACUGUGUUCAAUCGUUAUGAGCGAUGGAGGGACGCAGGAGGUGAAGCACGCAUCGAGCUGGAUCGAUGUUCAAGCGACAAGUGCGGUUAAGAGUCAAAUGCUUCUAACCAGCAACACGAGUCGUGAUGAGGAGUGAAGUAAAAGUAGCGAAGGUGUGGUAGUCACACUGCCAAGAAAAGCUUCUAGCCAGAGAGAACAUACCCGUACCGCAAACCGACACAGGUAGUCGAGUGGAGAACACUAAGGUGAGCGAGAGAACUCUCGUUAAGGAACUCGGCAAAAUGACCCCGUAACUUCGGAAGAAGGGGUGCUAGCCAAGAGAUUGGUUAGCCGCAGUGAAUAGGCCCAAACAACUGUUUAUCAAAAACACAGGUCUCUGCAAAAUCGUAAGAUGACGUAUAGAGGCUGACACCUGCCCGGUGCUGGAAGGUUAAGAGGAGAGCUUAGCGUAAGCGAAGGUUUGAAUUGAAGCCCCAGUAAACGGCGGCCGUAAC